rnacentral:sRNA from 1 species
AAAAAAAAAAACCAAAAAAAGA